CCAUCCCCCUACUCCACCCUGGUCAGGGUUUGGGGUCAAGAAAUUCUGUCCUUAUUUUCUACUCCUAUAGUCCAAUUUCAAAUCCCUGUAAGUUCUGACCUGCCCAACACUGAGUCCCCUCUGGGCCCUUUUGCUGCUUUGCUUCUGGGCUGUGAAGAGUCCAGGGUGGCUUCCUGUACCUGCUCUGCCAUCUUCCGGCUUCCCUGGGUCUCUUGUCAUCUCAUGGUGGCUCCCUCCUCUGUGCUCCCACUUGUGCCUCCUCUGGUCCUGACUCAAGGGGCUGCAGGUCUGGAACCUGUGACAUCACAAUACAUGUGCCCACCCCCACUCAAGCUUAAUGCCAUUGAGAGCAUCUGAUUGGCCCCUGGGCAGCCAAUAGCUUUACAGGUUUUGCUGCAAAUGUUCACCUUGGACACCAGAGAACACGGCCUUCCUGAGUGGAAUUGGAGAGCAGCAGGUUGGGAGGCCUCUUUCGGACUUUGAUUUGGGGAGAGCCAUUGGAAGAAGGAGAAAAAAAAGCAGCCAUAAUUACCCUGGUAAAGGAGGCUGUCCACAUCAGACCCGAGUGCCCUUUUGGAUCAGAUGAGUCAGCGCAGAUAUUUAAAGAACAGGAGAGGCCAUGAGCUCUCAGGAAGAAGAUGUUAAAGAAAAGACUUGCGCCUGUGAGAUCCUUCUAUUUUCCUUCCUUGCCCCUAGGACUCCAGUUCUCACACCCGUCACUGGGAGAAGAAACAACCCACCAGGACUCUGCACUCAGAUUCUGACCAGGACACACCUCCUUCCCACACACUCACCCUCCCAAUUCCUGACUGCCAAGGCCCGUUUUCUACCUUGGCUCAUGAAUGAGUUCACCUGGUUGCUGGUCACUUUUUUGCUUCUGCUGUGCUCCCUGAGACAAUGGUCCAGGUGUUUGUAGGGACUCUGUCGGGGACAGGACAUCCAGGCAGAGCAGAUCCCCCAAAGUGGGGUGGGGCGUGUCUCUGCUCUCCACCAGGUUCAUGCUGCACACAGCCAGAGAUCCAGGAGGAGCCCCCAAGUCCUGAGAAUCAAGCCCGUCUCUCCAAACCCGAAAAUCCACUAAGAGACACGAGACAGAGGGUUGGCAAGUGAAGACCAAGCAGGAGAACAGCGGUUGCCUUCAGAAAACUGUGCAUAAGAAGAUUCCUUGGCAGAGUUGAGCACAUCUCUAUUUUCAGAAGUGCAGUAUUUGCCAACAUAUGGUGCUAACACCAUUGGACAAGCAAAGGCCAAAAAGUGAAACUGGACCUGAACAUCACACGUUUGCAGGAAGCUGGUGCUAGGACAAGACGAGGCCCAUCAUCUGACAUUCGUGACCUUCCUCACAAGCUUUCAGACAAAGUGUCUUACUUUUUACUAGUGGUAUGGUACGACAGGUGUGCGAAUCUCCCAGAAUUCCCAGAGGGAUUCAUCACAGCCACAAAGACAGGGGACGCUGCCUUCAAUUUCUGUGAAGUCAAUGUCUGUGAGGCGUGUAUUUCUGGACAAGGAGCCACACGAGAGGGAAAGCAGUUGAUGAUCUGCACUUCCCUUCCUUUCCUCCUCUGCUGGUGAAGCUUACAGAGGACUCGAAUGUCUCCUUGAAGGACAAAAUUUUGACAUUUUACCCUCCAAUUUGGUUUUCAGUGAGCCUACUUACUUCAAGUAGAGAGCAUUCUGAUGCAGUAGCAGGGACUGCAGGAAAUGACACUCCUGCCUCCCGGGUCUCAGCAUGUGGCCUGCUUAUGGCUACUGGGGAUGAUUGCUCCUGAGCCCCUCAGUACAGAGGGCAGGAAAUGGACCUAUUCUACUAACCCAUGCCAACAAGUGCAAAUCUAUCUAUCUAUCUAUCUAUCUAUCUAUCUAUCUAUCUAUCUAUCUAUCUAUCUAUCUAUCUAUCAUCUAGCUAAACUUUCCAUCCAUCUAUCCAU